rnacentral:lncRNA from 1 species
GGUGUACUACAACAUUAAUUCUGCAAGUCAUUAAUUUAAUUGAAAAUCACUUUAAAUGCUGAUAUUGUUACUGUGCUGAAGACUGUGUUGGGAUGCUGCGACGGUGGAGAACAGGGGAAAAGCAACUACAGAAACGUCUCAACUAGAAAAAAAAAAGAUCAACCUGUGUAUUGAAUUGCUGACCAUAAAGAGGUGAGGGCUGUGCAGGACUUGUGCUAGACCUUCCAUGUCUCACACAGUACCUGACAUGAGCAGCCAAGAGCAUCUGUAACCAUGCAAAUGGCAUAACCCUCCAAAAGGGAUGAAGUGCCUCUCAGACUCAGACCAAAGCUCCUGGCAACAAAAUCAAUGUGAGCCUGAUGCGAGCCCUGAUGGGAGAGAUCCAAGCGUAAGUACAAUUUAACUCAACAUGCAUGUUGGAUGGUAAGGAAAAACUGAAGUCUUUUCAGUGAGCAUUGGAGGCGUUUAGAUGCCGGCACAGAGCCUGAGGCCGUGGGACUGAGCAUCACUGGGCAAAGCCACAGCUAGAGGCAUGGGGAGCUGGGGCUGUGCAGCCCGGGGAAGGCUCAGGGGAGGCCUUUCAGUGCCUGGAAGGGCCUAUGGGAAGGCUGGGAGGGACACUUCAUCAGGGGAUGUAUUAUGUCUUAAAGCUAAAGGAAGGGAGAUUUAGAUGAGAUGUUAG